rnacentral:rRNA from 2 species
CGGUGGAUCACUCGGCUCGUGGAUCGAUGAAGAACGCAGCAAACUGCGCGUCGAAUUGUGAACUGCAGGACACAUGAACAUCGACGCUUCGAACGCACAUUGCAGCCCACGGAUUCUGUUCCCGGGUUACGCCUGGCUGAGGGCCGGC